rnacentral:rRNA from 1 species
UACGGAGGGUGCAAGCAUUGAUCGGAAUUACUGGGCGUAGAGGGCGCGUAGGCGGCCGAAAAAGUCAGGGGUGAAAUUCCGGGGCUCAACCCCGGAGCGGCCUUUGAAACUUUUUGGCUUGAGUACAGUUAGGGAAAACGGAAUUCCACGUGUAGCGGUGAAAUGCGUAGAUAUGUGGAAGAACACCGGUGGUGAAGACGGUUUUCUGGGCUGAGACUGACGCUGAGACGCGAAAGCGUGGGGAGCAAACAGG